rnacentral:rRNA from 1 species
UACGAAGGGGGCUAGCGUUGCUCGGAAUCACUGGGCGUAAAGGGUGCGUAGGCGGGUUUUUAAGUCAGGGGUGAAAUCCUGGAGCUCAACUCCAGAACCGCCUUUGAUACUGAAGAUCUUGAGUCCGGGAGAGGUGAGUGGAACUGCGAGUGUAGAGGUGAAAUUCGUAGAUAUUCGCAAGAACACCAGUGGCGAAGGCGGCUCACUGGCCCGGUACUGACGCUGCGGCACGAAAGCGUGGGGAGCAAACAGG